CACCAGGCUCCGCCGUCCCUGGGAUUCUCCAGGCAAGAACACUGGAGUGGGUUGCCAUUUCCUUCUCCAAUGCAUGAAAGUGGAAAGUGAAAGUGAAGUUGCUCAGUCGUGUCUGACUCUUAGCGAUUCUAUGGACUGCAGCCCACCAGGCUCUUCUGUCCAUGAGAUUUCCCAGGCAAGAGUACUGGAGUGGGGUGCCAUUGCCUUCUCCCAAUCUAGAAUAGAAAAGAGUCUAAACCUGUACACCUGAAACUAACACGAUAUUGUAAAUCAACCAUAGUUAAAUAAAAUAAAUUCCAAAAGUAAAAUAUUGUUAAUUAUUCGAAAAAACCCCAAAUCUCCCUUUAUAUCAUCCAUCAGGGCCUUCACGAGCUACUACACAGCUGUUUGUUCUUUCGUUCAUUCAAAUAUCUCUUGAGCACCUGUUAUGGCUGAGCACUGUCUCAGAUGCUGGGGAAACAACAGUGAACAUGACAAAGCCUUGUGGUGGCACAGACAAUAAACCAGCAAGCAAAUUAAUGACUUACUACUGUGACCCAAACAAUGAAGGUGACCAGUGUUGCUGUGGUUCGGGCGUCAAGUAGGCAGCCUUCUUCCAAGGGGCAGCCAGGGCAGGUCUCCCAGAGGCAUGGAGGUUGCAGGCUGAGAACUGGAGGGGGAGGAAAGAACCAGCUGUUUGAAGAUGGAGAGGAAGAGUGGUCCAGGAGUGUGCUAAGGUUCAGAGCUGCUUCAGUCACGUCUGACUCUUUGCAACUCUGUGGACUGUAGCCUGCCAGGCUUCUCCGUCCACAGGAUUCUCCAAGCAAGAAUAUUGGAGUGGAUAGCCACUCUCUUCUCUAGGGGAUCUUCCUGACCCAGGGAUUGAACUCAGGUCUCCUGCAUUGCAGGCGGAUUCUUUACCAUCUGAGCCACCAGCGAAGCCGAUGUUAAAAAGUAG
ensembl:lncRNA